UAAUGAUUGGGUAUGGGUCAAAUUUGCUUUAUAUACAUUGUUCAUUUUUAUUAUCAAUAUCUAUUAGUUAAAUACAUAUAUUUAUAGCAAUUUAAUAAUGGUAUGAAUCUUCAUUUCUUCUGAAUUAAAAUAUUUUCUCAUUAAACUUGAUAAUUUAAUAAUUAAUAAAUAAUUAAAAUUUUUCUAAAUUCUCUCAUUUUUGUGGAAUGAUAAUAAAAGAUGUUUUUUUAAGCAAAAAUGAUAAAUUAUACUUUUCAAAUUUUCCCUCAAAUUAUGUUAUAAUUUUGUACUACUUAUUCUUAGAUCAGUUACUAUAAUCAUUUGUAUUUGUGUUUCGAACUUACCACUUUAUAAUAGCGUUUCGUAUAUCAUGAUCGAUGUAUUCAGUGCAGUAAAACAUAUUAGUCCGAAUAGCUUGAUUGAUGUCUCUUGUGUCCAUAUCACAUUACUAUUACAAGGAUUGAUAUACAUUUUAAAUCUAAUAUAUUACCUAGCGAUAGAUAUUAAUAAAUAGCUUGUGAUUUUAUAAGAACUAUUCAUUAAAUUAUAAACGGAGAGGUAAUGAAAUAAAUACCACCAUCAAUUGAAUAUAGCAAGAACUUUAUAAAAGACGAGGCAGACUCACAGAUGGUUUAAGUAUAUUAGUAUAUGUCUCAAAACUCUGAGAAACGUAUGACGGUUUUGUAUUCGCAUUUUUUUUAUUCUUUUUUUUGUUUUUUUUUUUUCUUUCAAAUAGAUCACACAUGAAAAAAAGUUGUUGCAUAAAGAGAUGUGUUUAUAUCGUGCGUAAAAAGUACGAACAUACAUCAAUCGAAAAAGAGUUGUUAGUCAAGGAUAGAAGCUGAAAAAGGAAACGCUCGACUAGAUUUGAUAAACUCCCUCUUGUUAUGUUAUAUUAUAAAUUGUCGAAAUUAACAUGUUUCUCUUCUUAUCUAACCUUAACGACCAAAACUCAUUGACGUUAUCGUAAAAAAUAUACAUAUAUGUUCAUGGUCGUCGAUCGUUUGCAAAUUAUUUAUUACUUAUCGUUUAUCAGUUAUUAUCAUAUCUUAGAAAAAUAAUUGUUUAUUUCUAAUUGUACAAGAGAAAGCAUGACAAUAAAGUAUGAGAAUACUGGUAAUAUUGUAACGAAAGAGGGAGUUCUAUUAUUAAGAAAAAACGUGACUUUCGCUCCUAUUGGAGGAAUAUCGGGAAAAAUGUACAACGAGGAAAAUUAUUUCGAAUAAAGUAAUUUGCUUCGCAAGCGAUUGUAGUUUUGUAAAUUAAUGUGUGAAUCAUUUUUAUCGCGAAAAUGACAAGGAAAUUGAUAUUAUUUUAUGAUAUCAUCGUCCAUCAGCGCGAUAUGACGUGAAACUUCAGAAUAAGAAGAAACUUCGAUAGAAUAUCGAGUGAAAAAUCGAUUUUCAGUGUUUCGAUUUUUAUCAUGAUCUUCGAUACUUAUCGAUUUCUGUUAGUUAAGUCGGGUUAUGGAGCGUUGAUAUUUGUGAAUAUAUUUGAUAGAAUAAAAUAAAAAGAAAAAAAUUAGUACAAUUUUGAAAGAUUUGAGAAAUAAGGAUGUGAGAAAAUAUUUUUAAAAAUUAUAAAAUUAAUAAAUUAAGAAAUAAGAAAAUAAAAAGAGAACAAAAAAGAGCAAGAAUAGUGUGCGAAGCGAAAAAAAAAAUGAUCUAAAAUGCAUAUUCAUUUAAUUUUUAAAUAGUUGAUAUCAAAUUCCAUAAAUCUUGUAAAUUUUCUAGAAUUUUUAACGAUAAAUAUACACUAUCGAUUAUACUCUUCAUUUUAUAUCUCGUUUUUAAGGAAAACCGAUAACCUAGAAACAAGUACAAUAUUAACGUCCUUCCUCUCCUCUGAAUCCCAACGUUUUUGAAAAGAGUUACAGACGCGGAAUAUCGAUAGACAAAAAUUAAUUAUGCGACGUUGGAGUGGGGAAGAGCAAUAUCGGAUGGAAUUCACGGAACGAACGGGUGAGAGGCCGAUGUCCGAUAUUUACAUAGCUCGAAUAAAAGUUCGGGAAAAUAGAAGCCGAUUUUUCGAAUUCAUCGAUUCAUCGAUUCAUCAAUGGAUCAUUCAAUAUCACAUAUCGAUUUCCAAAGGUCAAUUGACAUAUGAUGACGCAAAAAAAUCGGAAAUUUAAUAAAACAAUUUUAUUCUGAAGAAAGAGGUUAUGAAUGAUGGAAAAGAAAAUAUAUAAAUGCUUGAAAAAUAUGAUGGUAAGAGAUGGAAUCAAGAAUCAGAGAGAGAGAGAGAGAGGAAUGAAGCUCCUUGACCCGACUGAUUUGAUAAAUUCCAAGCAUUUCUGCCAUUCUAUAGCAUAGUUAUAUGUGUAAAUAUGUAUUCCGCUUGAUGUUCUAUGUUUCUUAGCGAUGAUGACCCGCACCCGGCCCUCGCGAGAAUGAGUUUAAUUGACUGAAGUGCCGAGCCGAAUCGCGGGUACACUUUGAAGCAUAUAUGGAAGUUUGUUAAUAUCGACGAUAUGUGGGAGAUAAGACAGGUUGAUUUACUAAUUUGUUACAAUAUUUUAAAUGUUAAUAUCCAAUUAAUUCUCAUUUGAUUUAUACAUAUUAUUCGAAUUUUGUAUAUUAUUUACAUAAUAACCUAACUUUUUAAUGCAAUUAAAUGAAUUGAAUUGAAAUAUGUACGACACGUGAAUGAGAUUUCUAGAUUAUUAAGAAACAAAAAUAAGAAGAUAUGGAAAAUCUAGUGUGUGAAUAAACGUAACUAUAGAAUGUUUCGGAAUAUCAGAUGUCGAGGCUUUUGAAAAUUGAAUACCACUUGAACUAACUGAAAUGCUUGCGCUGUUGCUAUUUUAGAUAUCCAAAACAUCCAGAUAUUAGAUACCUUACGUAUCCCGAAUAUUGAAUAGAAUAUUUCAUGUUCCAGAUAUUCGAAUUCCGUUUCUUUUAAGGUAUCGUGUGACAUUUAUCCGCAGCGCCGCAGCAUUAACUAGAACACGCCAAAGCGGAAAUCGCUGGUUUAUCGCGCUGACAGACGCGGGGAUUUAAUCGUUCGAUCGGAUUAGAUGCGAUUGUCAGAGCUACUGUCACGCCUGUCGCAAGCGUUUCGAUAGAAAAUUGAAAACCGUGAAACAGGAGAGUUUAGACUGGCAAGGAGGGAUACACGGGAGAUUCCUGUAAACGGUUCUUUGUAUCGUCGUGAAAUGACGAAGAAAAAGAAGUAUAAACGGAUAAACGUAAUCUUGACAGCUUUACGAAUUUAAGUUAAGGCGCUAUAUUAAAAUGGAAAUAAGAUUUCGUGGGAAUCUCAGCCGUCUGGCAUCUUGAAUAAAUUUUUGCUGAUUCGAAAGCAAGCAUUUUUUAUAAUGGCUACGAUUUGCAAUACGAUACAAAACGACACAAAAAAAACAAAGAAUCUACUUUAUCAAGAUCGAAUAGACAAUUCGAUUCCAAGAGCAGAAUCCAAGGAUAGAAUGAAAUCAGAGAUGUAUCGACAUCAAAAAUCGAAGUAAUUUUCGUAAGCAUGAAAUGCAAGGAAGAAAUGAAAAGACAUUACUUUGGGGAGGAACGCUAACAGCUUUCUCAUCGGUGCUUUUAAUCAGAUAUUGGGGGAGGGUCGACGAGUUUCGUGUGUACAAGCAAGCCCGAUUCAACUACACACGUGCGCGGUACACGACGAUUCAUGGUGGACUGUUAGACGUAAUAUCUAACGUGUGAACUAACUGGUGUAUCGAUCGUCUUGCUACUGAUGCGAUGUAUACUGAUGCAAGACGUGCACGUAUCGUAAGUACAUGUGUUAGGUACAUAUAUCGGUUAUAUGAAACUAUAAUUACACGAGGGAUGGAGGAAAGAACAGGAUACGAAGCUUUCAAAUGGGACAUCAUAUCGGCAUCAAGAUAGAAAAGAUAAGGAGAAACAGUUUCACGAAUCGGUUGUAGAAUUCUCACUGUUUCAAGAAAAUCAAUAUGAAAGUAGAUGCACUACCAGAAUGUAGAUACAAUCUGGUUGAAUUUUCUUGCCUCUACAUACAGAUAUAUACUUUGAGCCGGAGUGGAAGAUGAAAAGUACUGAUUUGAAGCGAACUACUUUAAAUGGUAGGAAAGGGAGAAUAAGGGUACAAGACAUUGGAAAGGAAAGUUUGCACGAAGAGAUAUUUAUAUCUGUUGAGUUUGUAUGACCAGCCUUGUCCAGUAUCUGUUCUUGUCUAAAGAACAGUAUUGAAAUUGGGACAUACUGUUUCAGAAACGUGAAGAGUUAGCGAUUCUUUGAGAACAAGAGACAUGAAGAUAACAAGAAUAGAGGAGAGUCAGUUUUAAAGAUAAAAAAAUUUGAAGAAAUUGAAAAAUCACAGAGAAGGGAAAGGAAUUGGACAGGGAAAUUUUUAAAUUUAUCUUCAGGAAGAUUGAUUGUCGUCCCAUUUGAAAAUUGUUGUACGAGAAAAAGGCAA